GAGCGCCGUCACUUACAACGGAUCGUCCGGCACGUUCCUGCCGGUGAGGAGAUAACG
rfam:Marmoricola sp. Leaf446 contig_3, whole genome shotgun sequence.